UCACUCCUACGGGAGGCAGCAGUGGGGGAAUAUUGCACAAUGGGCGCAAGCCUGAUGCAGCCAUGCCGCGUGUGUGAAGAAGGCCUUCGGGUUGUAAAGCACUUUCAGUCGUGAGGAAGGUAGUGUAGUUAAUAGCUGCAUUAUUUGACGUUAGCGACAGAAGAAGCACCGGCUAACUCCGUGCCAGCAGCCGCGGUAAUACGGAGGGUGCGAGCGUUAAUCGGAAUUACUGGGCGUAAAGCGCAUGCAGGUGGUUUGUUAAGUCAGAUGUGAAAGCCCGGGGCUCAACCUCGGAAUAGCAUUUGAAACUGGCAGACUAGAGUACUGUAGAGGGGGUAGAAUUUCAGGUGUAGCGGUGAAAUGCGUAGAGAUCUGAGGGAAUACCGGUGGCGAAGGCGGCCCCCUGGACAGAUACUGACACUCAGAUGCGAAAGCGUGGGGAGCAAACAGGAUUAGAUACCCUGGUAG
rnacentral:rRNA from 1 species